GAGGUUCCUUGCCAUGCAUAUCAAAAGUAGAGGAGUUGGUGAAGCGAAUGCGUAUGAACCUCCACGACAGUGGCUUCCGCCCGCUGCUCAGAUGUGGGCUGUGCUGAGUCUUGGCAGCUUUGGAACCCUCCAAGCCACCUGACAGAGCCUCGGGUGCACAAAGGAAACGCCUGCCUCCUCCGAUCGUGACUCCCUCGGCUCGGGAGAGGUGGUCUGGCGCGGUGGACACCAGCCCCAAAGUGUCAGUGCCAGCCCUACCCUGCCGGAGGAAUUUCUCCCUGCCCGCCACCCCCGUCCGCCAGGUGUGGCUCCGUUUUGCCGCUGGCCAGAGCCUGACCCCUCGUCCCUGCUCUUCCACAAGGCCGGCCGGGGUGGGGGGUGGUCUGAGGUCCAGAUGGAGCCGCCUCGGGGAGGAGGGCCACCUCCCUGCUGAGCUGACCUGCCCCUCCAGCAGAGGGCUGCUCAGCAGAGCCCCUACGCCUUUCCGGAGCAGAGGGAGCCCCCCAGUGCUCCCAUCCCGGGCAGAGGGAAAGGGUUCUCGUUUCAGCGACGCCCCCCAGGAAAGGGGACUCGGUGCUGAGAUUCCAGGGGAGGCUCUGGGCGCCUCCAGGGGCCGCUCCAGGCAGCCUUGUCUCUGUGCUCGGCUGUUUCCAGCCCCUGGGCCCAUCCAGAGUCCAACCCUGGGAGGAGGGAGCACUCACUGAGACAGCAGCCCAUCCCACUCAACGCUUCAUUCCUGAGGCCUGGGCUCCAGCGACUCAGAGAACCAGAGAGCAGCAGGGAGGAGGGCACCUUGGCUGAUGUGAUGCCCGUGGAGCCCACCUUCCCUCUUACUGUAUGCUGGGCUGUGUGUCACCUGCUGGAAGUCACCUCCUCUAAGAAGGCCGCCUUGACUCCCGUGAUCCUUGGAGGGAAGCAAACACAGCUGAGUCCACUGGAUCCCCUAUGCUCGGUUCAAGCCCAGACCAGACACGGGAAUAAGAGGUGAAUGAGCAAAUCGCUGCUGUGUUCCCUCUUGACGGCGGGCAGCGCAGCCUUGGUGGCAUUGCUACUGCCACACGCUUACACACUGUGUGCCUCUAUGCAUAUCUUCUUCCUAUGUAAAUGGGAUUAUAUCCUGUGUCUCAUUGGCCACUUGCUUUCUUAUUUAAAUCACUGCAAGGGCUUCCUGGCCCAUCUCUUGCCUUCAGCCCGGGUCCAGCAAACCAGUCUCCAUGCGGCAGGCAGAGUGAACUUUCUAAGCUGACCACUUCAUGCUCCUGGUCCCACAGGGGCUCGGCUCUGUUCUCUCCACACCAUUCUCUUUUAGCACCUGCUACCCCUUCUCUUCAUUCCUCUGGGGAGCUCCGGCUCAUCCUCCAGAGAUCAGCUCCAGUGCCACCUCCCCUGUGAAGCCUCCUGGGGUUCCUCCAGGACCUGAUGUCAGGCAGAAGUGUCAGGGCAAUGGCUAUGAAGCAAGCAGCUGAGGUGCCCUGGGAGGCCCAAGCCUCCUGGCCUGGAUGGAGAUGCCACCUUCAUCCUACAUGAGGUUCGGGAAGAACUAUUAAGAUUCCGGGCAGCCUCUACCCUGCUGUGGAGACGCUGCGGAGCCUGCCGUGUCAUUUAGCCAGAAAAGAGAACAGAGAGCCUGAUUCAUAGGCCCAAACACUUGUAGGGCAUUUAGCAUCUGACAAGAGUGGAUAUUUAUGGAAGACUUCCUGUGGG
rnacentral:lncRNA from 1 species